AAAAUAAGAUAAACAUAACAUACUAAAUUGCGAAAGAACCUUUAGUCAAAUUUGGUCGGACAACAGACUUCGGAACACUCCAUGUCAUUGAGGUGUUUUGGAUGCCACCAAGGCCGCAUUUCGUGCUGUUUGCCCAGAGGAAGAUGGAGGGUCAUGGAUGAAGAAGUGGGUCUCCUUUGGGGCAGAUGGUGCCACCGUGGGGGAGUGAUUGACCACCUGCAGAGAGGGGCAGGGGGGCAUAUAAUCCCAAUCUACUGUAUGCCACAUGUAUUUGUAACUAAUAAAUUAUCUGAUUUAGUUUUAUUUGCUAUCAGAUAAAACUAGGACCCCCUGUCCGGGGGUGUCCUCGGAUGGGGCCACAGUGUCUCCUGACCCCUCCUGUCUCAGCCUCCAGUAUUUAUGCUGCAGUAGUUUAUGUGUCGGGGGGCCAGGGUCAGUUUGUUAUAUCUGGAGUACUUCUCCUGUCCUAUCCGGUGUCCUGUGUCAAUUUAAGUAUGCUCUCUCUAAUUCUCUCUUUCUUUCUCUCUCUUGGAGGACCUGAGCCCUAGGACCAUGCCUCAGGACUACCUGACAUGAUGACUCCUUGCUGCCCCCAGUCCACCUGGCCGUGCUGCUGCUCCAGUUUCAACUGUUCUGCCUGUGAUUAUUAUUUGACCAUGCUGGUCAUUUAUGAACAUUUGAACAUCUUGGCCAUGUUCUGUUACAAUCUCCACCCGGCACAGCCAGAAGAGGACUGGCCACCCCACAUAGCCUGGUUCCUCUCUAGGUUUCUUCCUAGGUUUUGGCCUUUCUAGGGAGUUUUUCCUAGCCACCGUGCUUCUACAUCUGCAUUGCUUGCUGUUUGGGGUUUUAGGCUGGGUUUCUGUACAGCACUUUGAGAUAUUAGCUGAUGUACGAAGGGCUAUAUAAAUACAUUUGAUUUGAUUUGUUAAAAAAUACUGUGUGUGUCUGUGUGUGUUCUAAGUGCUGGAAUGGUAAAUACCACAGAAUUAUUGUUUUCUGUUGGCACAAGAGAUGGAGGGGGGGGGUUAGGCUAGAGCUGGCAAUACGGACCAUUCAGAAGAAAGAGACAAAUGUGUCUGUCGUGUUUGUUCUUCUGAAUCUGAUAUGUGUCACUUCAGCAGAAAAUCCAAAUGAGAGCUCUAUGUUCUCGGGCAAGAGCUCAGUGUAGAUAUUUGCACACCGUCUAGCGUCAAGGGAACUCUCUGGAUCCCCCAUGUCCACAGAGCCCUCAGUGUUCCUGAGGCAUGGACAAGACAAGGACCUUACUGCUGACGAAGGCCAGUACUCCGUUGUUCUGCAACACAUCAACAACAGCGGAUGUUCAAGGGCAGGCAAAGAAGGGUAUAACGCUGAAGGGGAAUCUGAAAGGCUUCACAGACCUCACCAAUCCCUAGCUGAAGCAGCACAUGGAGGCGGCCAUCAACAUUGGCGUGGAUGAUCUCAAAGCCAUGUUUGGUGGUUUGCUGAAGAAUGAGGGUGUCCAGACCCCAGUGGAGUCUUUCAGAGUGAUAAACCCUGACACAUGGCCAGAAGACCAGGCCAGCCUUCUCACCUUUGGCGAUGAUGGUGUGGCAGACCUGAUGAGGCAUUUCAAAGAGCUGAGAAUUUAUUUGACACUGCAUUGCCAUAUGAGACAAUGUUAUAUUUGCAUAUUUGUAAACUCACUUGCUCUGUUAAAUCCUACAGAUCGGGGUGCAACAUGGCUGCAAUCCAGGAUGAGUGGCAGGGGCUGAAAAUCCUGGUCAGCCACAAUUUCAAGGACAAGUCUUAGUGGCAUGUGGGAGACCAUGUUGACAAAGGACCCCUACAGGCACGAUUACAAGGUAGACUAACAGUCCAGAGUGGUUAUUGUAUGGUAUCCUUUUAUGGUUGUUUUUGAUAAGUUAAUGGUCAAAUUAAAAUGAAAUUGAAAGAUCUCAUCUUUUCCCUACAACAUACUGGAGUUGGUGCAGCUUAUGCUGGUGCUGCCCAUUUCAGCCGCCCAGUGUGAGUGAUGCUUCUUUGCGCAGAACCGGAUUAAGAUUGACAAGAAGCUGCCUUGGGGUCUCUACCACCGAAGACCUGAUCAGGAUCAGCCUGUGGGUCUUCUGUCGAGGUGUUGGAUCCCACUCCUGCCGUGGACCGCUGGCUGACCUCUAAGCGUGCCAGACGGCCAACAUACAAAAGCAGCUGGACAACUGAUAUCCUUUGCGUCUAGUAGCCAUGAGUCAAUGUGUGAUUGGCGGUAUGUGUCCCUUAGUACACGCACACAGUAUAAAUAUGUAUGUAAUAAAUUGUUUGUUAAUAA